rnacentral:rRNA from 1 species
UACAGAGGGUGCAAGCGUUAAUCGGAAUUACUGGGCGUAAAGCGUGCGCAGGCGGUUUUGUAAGUCUGACGUGAAAUCCCCGGGCUUAACCUGGGAAUUGCGUUGGAGACUGCAAGGCUGGAGUCUGGCAGAGGGGGGUAGAAUUCCACGUGUAGCAGUGAAAUGCGUAGAGAUGUGGAGGAACACCGAUGGCGAAGGCAGCCCCCUGGGUCAAGACUGACGCUCAUGCACGAAUGCGUGGGGAGCAAACAGG